CACAGCCCUGCCAUGUGGAUGUGUGAGAGCUUCCACAAAGUUCCAAUGCUAGAGAAAUUUAUGCUUAUGUGGUGUGCCUCAUGGUAAUACUGGAAGUCUCCUGUAUCUACAUGCACUGUAUGGACUGCGUGUGAACAGUUUGUCAGUACAGAUUCCUCACAGCAGGACAGCUCAUCUCUGGCUCAACCUCCCCUCAAACACUAGAUGAAAGUCAAAACUAAGUGGAAGCAUGCAUUAGGAAGCAGGAGGAAUAAGACCUCAACUGGAUACACUGCCUCAGAGCUCAAGUUUCAUAAACGUCGACAACCAUAGGAGAACAUAACCUAUAUAGAAAGUUGGCCAGCCACAGACAAAAGGUCUGUGGUCUCUAGGUGAAUCCUAAUCCUCCAAGAAUGUAAUAAAUUGUUACCUGAGGUCAGCAUGAAGGUGAAAGUAGCAGUUGAGUCCGCAGGAUUAUCAAACCUCUGUUGUUAGAUUCCCCUUUUUAUAUUCUCAAAUAUAAUUCACAACUACUUUUAAACUGACAUUAAGCAGUGUAAAAAUGGAUCAUAACACUCU